rnacentral:rRNA from 1 species
GACGAACGCUGGCGGCGUGCUUAACACAUGCAAGUCGAACGGAAAGGCCCUGCUUUUGUGGGGUGCUCGAGUGGCGAACGGGUGAGUAACACGUGAGUAACCUGCCCUUGACUUUGGGAUAACUUCAGGAAACUGGGGCUAAUACCGGAUAGGAGCUCCUGCCGCAUGGUGGGGGUUGGAAAGUUUCGGCGGUUGGGGAUGGACUCGCGGCUUAUCAGCUUGUUGGUGGGGUAGUGGCUUACCAAGGCUUUGACGGGUAGCCGGCCUGAGAGGGUGACCGGCCACAUUGGGACUGAGAUACGGCCCAGACUCCUACGGGGGGCAGCAGUGGGGAAUAUUGCACAAUGGGCGGAAGCCUGAUGCAGCAACGCCGCGUGCGGGAUGACGGCCUUCGGGUUGUAAACCGCUUUCGCCUGUGACGAAGCGUGAGUGACGGUAAUGGGUAAAGAAGCACCGGCUAACUACGUG